UAUUGCACAAUGGGGGAAACCCUGAUGCAGCGACGCCGCGUGAGUGAAGAAGUAUCUCGGUAUGUAAAGCUCUAUUAGCAGGGAAGAAGAAUUGACUGUACCUGAGUAAGAAGACCCGGCUAACUACGUGCCAGCAGCCGCGGGAAUACGUAGGGGGCAAGCGUUAUCCGGAAUUACUGGGUGUAAAGGGAGGGUAGACGGUGAUGUAAGUCUGGAGUGAAAGGCGGGGGCCCAACCCCCGGACUGCUCUGGAAACUAUGUGACUGGAGUGCAGGAGAGGUGAGCGGAAUUCCUAGUGUAGCGGUGAAAUGCGUAGAUAUUAGGAGGAACACCAGUGGCGAAGGCGGCUCACUGGACUGUAACUGACGUUGAGGCUCGAAAGCGUGGGGAGCAAACAGG
rnacentral:rRNA from 1 species